ACGCACCGCACGCCCGGGUUACCCGUAGAUGUCCAAGCACCGCACGCCCGGGUUACCCGUAGAUGUCCAAGCACCGCACGCCCGGGUUACCUGUAGAUGUCCAUGCACCGUACGUCCGGGUUAUCCGUAGAUGUCCAUGCACCACAUGUCCAGAUUAUCCAUAGAUAUCCAUGCACUGCAUGCCCAAGUUACUCGUAGAUAUCCAUGCACUGCAUGUCCAGGUUACCGGUAGAUAUCCAUGCACCACAUAUUCAGAUAUAUUAAAUAUGUGAGAAGGACUUGAUUCAAUCCAUCAUCACUGUGAAACACUGCUCAAAGUGAAUACAUUUGGGAGAGUUAUGAGGACAAAAUGCAUUUACGAACAAAGUGACUAAAAUACAUAGAUGGAUCCUGGACUUCUGUGAAAUCUUCCACUCAAGAAUUCUACCCAGGAGGAUUAGAGAUGGCUUUAUCUCUGUUAUGUAUGUAGAGAUUCCUAUUGUUGGGUAAAUUUUCUAGUCUGUUUUAUGCCAGAUCCUUGUCUCUCAAUUUACCACUCUAAUAGUAUUUUCUCAUUCAGCAUACAUUUAAGAGGAAAAUGAUGUAUAUUUGCAUAUAUUAAAUUACUGUCAUCCUUUCUUAGA
rnacentral:lncRNA from 1 species